GAUGAACGCUGGCGGCGUGCCUAAUACAUGCAAGUCGAACGAAACUUCUUUAUCACCGAGUGCUUGCACUCACCGAUACAGAGUUGAGUGGCGAACGGGUGAGUAACACGUGGGCAACCUGCCCUAAAGAGGGGGAUAACACUUGGAAACAGGUGCUCAUACCGCAUAACCAUAGUUACCGCAUGGUAACUAUGUAAAAGGUGGCUAUACUACCGCUUUUGGAUGGGCGCGCGGCGCAUUAGCUAGUUGGUAGGGUAAAGGCUUACCAAGGCAAUGAUGCGUAGACGAAGUGAGAGGUUGGUCGGCGACAUGGGAACUGAAACAGGGCCCAAACGCCUACGGGAGGCAGCAGUAGGGAAUCUGCCACAGUGGGCGAAAGCCUUAUGGAACAACGCCGCGUGGGUUAAGAAGGUCUUCGGAUCGUAAAACCCGGUUGUUAGUGAAGAAAGGGCUUGAGAGGAACUGUUCACGUAUCGACGGUAUCUAACCAGAAAGCCCCGGCUAACUACGUG
rnacentral:rRNA from 1 species